rnacentral:sRNA from 1 species
CAAGUUCUUUUUUCAGGCAUUAAGGAAAACAUAACCUCCGUGAUGCAUAGAGAUUAUUGGAUCCGCUGUGCUGAGACAUUGAGUUUUUCUUCGGCAUUCCAGUUUCAAUGAUAAAGCGGUGUUAUCCUAUCUGAGCUUUUAGUCGGAUUUUUUCUUUUCAAUUAUUGUGUUUUAUCUAGAUGAUGCAUUUCAUUAUUCUCUUUUUCUUGACCUUGUAAGGCCUUUUCUUGACCUUGUAAGACCCCAUCUCUUUCUAAACGUUUUAUUAUUUUCUCGUUUUACAGAUUCUAUUCUAUCUCUUCUCAAUAUAGAAUAGAUAUCUAUCUCUACCUCUAAUUCGUUCGAGUCAUUUUCUCCUACCUUGUCUAUCCCUCCUGAGCUAAUCUCCACAUAUAUCUUUUGUUUGUUAUUGAUGUAUGGUUGACAUAAAUUCAAUAAAGAAGUUGACGUUUUUCUUAUUUGAUUUUUGUUGUUGUUGGUU